ACUUAUGCAGAUCCUCCAUCAAGGUUGGUUAACUUGUUUGCUUGUAUUAUCUUAGAACUGAAUGAAUGCACUGACACAAUACUAGCAGUUUCUGUUUCCUUCCUCUACCUUGCAUUAGGUCAUGCCCAUUUUGUAGGGUAUUUAUUGUUUACCUAAUCCCACUACAGACCAGCAAUUGUCUAUUAGAUACCUUGAACUUAGUGUUAAAUUUCAGACUUAACAGUUCUUUUAAAUUUAUCAUACACUCAGGAGAUGUACAUAAAUUCUUAUGAAACCCAUGGAAAUGUUUGAAAUAAACAAACUUGAUGCAUAAACAUUACUUGUACAAUUCUCACCAGCUUUCGUAAUUUUUUAUUUGCCCUUUUCUUCAAGUCUUCAGUCUACGCAAAAUCUUUGUACAUGAUUCCUCCUUAUAUUCUAGAUCAUCAAUGCUUUUUUUUUUGUUUUCAAAUAUAAAUUUAUAAAAUUCAUUAGGGCUCCAUAUUGAUAGAUGAGGAUUUGAAAUGCAUGAGCAUUUGAAUUUGGCAUUAUAUCAAUGUUCUAUAAAUUUUCUCUUGAAACAAAAAUCCAAAUUUACUUUCAUUUCAAAUGAUCACCUAUCAAAAUGGAGCCUUAUGUCAUUAGCAGAUUGAGGGUGAUGGGUUUUUCACAUCAUAAUGAGUGAUACAAAUGAGGCGUCUCCUUUUGACAAUUCAUUCAUGAUGUGGUUGCUGACCGCCCAACUCAUGUUUUUCUGCAUUUGUGAUUAGUUAGGAUUAGGAUUAACUAACAAUCUAAAAGGUGAUUUUUCAAUUUGUUAUUGUUGAAAAUUAAAAUGCAGUCUUUUGCUUUAGCAAUUAAAUGUGAAGAGAGUUUGUUGGUUCAGUGGAUUGAUGUCAUAUUCACUUCAUAUAGAUUCUCAACAGUCUAUGUCCUUCUUUACCUUGUGGUCAAAUCACCUUCCAUGUCCUCCAGCGACUGUCUUAGAGGUUUAAAUAUAUGCCUCUCUCUCCCUUGAAACAAAAAGAAUUAAUAAAAGAGAAAAUUCAAAAUAGUAAUAAUAAUAAUAAAAGGAAUUCUAUUCUUUCUGUCUAUUCUUCAUUCUGGCUUAUUAGAAUUGAAUUAGAUGAUCUUGUAUGCGAGCAGCAUUUGUUUCUGGUAAACUGAUGAAAGAUUUUUGUUCAACUCCCUAAACAAGUUAUGCUUAUCCCUACGUUGUUGUUGUUGUUGUUGUACUAAUUUCCAUUAUUAGAUCCUAGUUUCAGAGUCAUACCUUUCUUGUACACUUUGACCUGUAAGUGCAAACUUCCUUCACCAAAGAUCUAAAUGGCUUUAAUCAGUGAUGCAAUACUAUUUAUAAAGUCCUUCAUACUGCGAAUUUUCUAUCUGCAUUUCUUCAUAUUAAGGAAUUUUUUUUAAUCUAAUAUUUUUUAAUCUAAUACAGCCAUACGACUGGCUAUAUUUUAUGGUAGUGAGUGUUGGACAAUG
rnacentral:misc_RNA from 1 species